UUGGGCUAAAGCGUCGUAGCUGGCUACGCAAGUCCGUCGGGAAAUCCACUCGCCCAACGAGUGGGCGUCCGACGGAAACUGCAUAGCUUGGGACCGGAAGGCUCGAAGGGUACGUUCGGGGUAGGAGUGAAAUCCCAUAAUCCCGCACGGACCACCGAUGGCGAAAGCACUUCGAGAAAACGGAUCCGACAGUGAGGGACGAAAGCCAGGGUCUCCAAC
rnacentral:rRNA from 1 species